rnacentral:SRP_RNA from 1 species
GCCAGGUGUGGUGGCGCACACCUGUAAUCCCAGCUAUUUGGGAGGCUGAGGUGGGAGGAUUGCUUGAGCCUGGGAGGUGGAGGUUGCAGUGAGCCGAGAUCAGGCCACUGCACUCCAGCCUGGGCGACAGAGCGAAACUCCAUCUCAA